rnacentral:misc_RNA from 1 species
UUUCCGUAGGUGAACCUGCGGAAGGAUCAUUAACGAAUAUCGUGCAAGGUUGUUAGCUGGCCUCUCGGGGCAUGUGCUCGCCUUGUUCACAUAUCCAUCUCACACCUGUGCACACUCGCGUGGGUCGGUCGGGGUUCUCUUUCGAGAGAUCCCUUCCGAGCCGCGUCUUCUCACAAACCCUUUGUAUGUCUUCAGAAUGGUAUCAAUGCUAUAAAAACGCAUCUAAUACAACUUUCAACAAUGGAUCUCUCGGUUCUCGCAUCGAUGAAGAACGCAGC